rnacentral:rRNA from 1 species
GAUUGACCUCGGAUCAGGUAGGGAUACCCGCUGAACUUAAGCAUAUCAAUAAGCGGAGGAAAAGAAACCAACAGGGAUUGCCUCAGUAACGGCGAGUGAAGCGGCAACAGCUCAAAUUUGAAAUCUGGUCCUUUCAGGGCCCGAGUUGUAAUUUGUAGAGGAUGUUUCGGGUGCGGCGCGGGUCUAAGUCCUUUGGAACAGGGCGUCAUAGAGGGUGAGAAUCCCGUAUGUGACCCGUGAUCAAGCCCAUGUGAAACCCCUUCGACGAGUCGAGUUGUUUGGGAAUGCAGCUCAAAAUGGGUGGUAAAUUUCAUCUAAAGCUAAAUACCGGCCAGAGACCGAUAGCGCACAAGUAGAGUGAUCGAAAGAUGAAAAGCACUUUGGAAAGAGAGUCAAAAAGUACGUGAAAUUGUUGAAAGGGAAGCGCUUGCAACCAGACCUGUCCGCAGGCGAUCAACUCCCGUUCUCGGGGGUGCACUCGUCUGUGAUCAGGCCAGCAUCGGUUCGGGCGGUCGGAUAAAGGCCUUGGGAAUGUAGCUCCUUCCGGGGAGUGUUAUAGCCCUCGGUGUAAUGCGACCAGCCCGGACCGAGGACCGCGCCUUCGGGCUAGGAUGCUGGCGUAAUGGUUGUAAGCGACCCGUCUUGAAACACGGACCAAGGAGUCUAACAUCUAUGCGAGUGUUUGGGUGUCAAACCCAUACGCGUAAUGAAAGUGAACGGAGGUGAGAACCCUUAAGGGCGCAUCAUCGACCGAUCCAGAUGUCUUCGGAUGGAUUUGAGUAUGAGCAUAGCUGUUGGGACCCGAAAGAUGGUGAACUAUGCCUGAAUAGGGUGAAGCCAGGGGAAACCCUGGUGGAGGCUCGCAGCGGUUCUGACGUGCAAAUCGAUCGUCAAAUUUGGGUAUAGGGGCGAAAGACUAAUCGAACCAUCUAGUAGCUGGUUCCUGCC